GUCCUACGGGGGGCAGCAGUGGGGAAUAUUGGACAAUGGGGGGAACCCUGAUCCAGCGACGCCGCGUGAGUGAAGAAGUAUUUCGGUAUGUAAAGCUCUAUCAGCAGGGAAGAAAGAAAUGACGGUACCUGACUAAGAAGCCCCGGCUAACUCCGUGCCAGCAGCCGCGGUAAUACGGAGGGUGCAAGCGUUAUCCGGAUUUACUGGGUGUAAAGGGAGCGUAGACGGCGGUGCAAGCCAGAUGUGAAAGCCCGGGGC
rnacentral:rRNA from 1 species